rnacentral:lncRNA from 1 species
ACUCAGACUCUACCUUUGACCGAUAGUCUUUGACCAGCGAGACGUGUUCCUCGUUCUUGCGGCCUUCCUCUUUCUGCUCGAUCGAGGAGAUAAUACGCCACGCGGCGCGAAGAGAGCCGAUGACGUUCUUGUAAGCAACGGAGAGGAGGUUGCGCUCCUCGACGGUGAGUUCAGUCGCCGGAGUGGAGGAAGUGACGAGGCUGUCCAUGAACUUAACCAUCUCUUCAUAGCGCUCGGCUUGCUCGGCGAGUUUCGCCAGGUAAACGUAUUGCUCUCUCGUCGGGGUUCCCAUAGCAGAAUUGCAGAAACUGUAAAGUUAACUGGAGGGGAAUUGGAU